rnacentral:lncRNA from 1 species
UCAAUAGGUAACUUGUAACAAAACUAUAUAUGCAUGCACCGAGAUUUAUGGAAUAAUGUUUUCUUCUGGUUCAGCUUUUCAUGAUGCAGUCUCAUUGUGUUUGGUUUAUGUUUUAGUGCAAUAGCCAAGUAUAAUACAGAAAAGGGCAGGCCAAGCCUAAAUGCAGUUGCUUGGAAGAACCUUGGGGUAUGUAAAUAUUGCUUUAAUUUGUUGGAUUUCUGGAUUGUUUCUUAUCAAGUGUACGUACUUGGAUUAGGGUAUGACAAUGGUGGUGGAAUUUGAAAAUUGAAAAUCAGUUAUAGGAAUUUUUUUUUUUUAAGAACCUGAAAAACUGAAAGAAAUAUUUCAAACGCAAGAGAAAAGCCACAAAGCUCUUAUCUAGUUGAAGGGUAGCAUGUAUAGUGAGCCCAAGAUAUUGAGAUAGUAAGUAAAACUGAACACUUGUACUAUAUUUGCUAAAGGUGUGUAUCUGUAUAAGAUAAACAUUUUCAUAAACACUUUGGUUGCUUUCAAGAGCUUGAUAUUAUCAAAUUGAACAUUUAAGAAACUUGAGCAUAGUUUCAAAAUCAGUUGUAGUCAAAACUAAAGAAACACCUGCUGAAUUUGAUAAGACACACCUGCUGAUUUUCUCCCAAUCAAAGCAAAACCAUAGGAAUCGUUUUGAUAUCGAAGGAAACAAGGUUACUGCUACUAGUUUUCUCCCAAAAAUGAAACCAAAGACCAAAAACAAACCAGAACAGUAGCAGAGAGAGAAAGAAGAGCAGUAGCAUCACUUACCAGAGGAAUUGCAGAGAGAGUUGAAGAAGAUGAAGGCGAGAAAACCCUGGGCGCGGUGAGAGGAGACGGAAGGAAGGAGACACUGCGUUUGCUACUGAGCCAGAAUUGGGAAUUUCGGUGAGAUGAGAAGGCGAUAAAAGAAAUUGAACCAAAACAGUAGCAGAGAGAGAAAGAAGAGCAGUAGCAUCACUUACCAGAGGAAUUGCAGAGAGAGGUUGAAGAAGAUGAAGGCGAGAAAACCCUAGGCACUGUGAGAGGAGACAGAAGGAAGGAGACGCUGUGUUUGCUACUGAACCAAAAUUGGGAAUUUCAGAUCCUUUAUGCGUAGUGGCAUCCAUGUAAUUAAAAGAAACGCUACGGUUUUUUGGUCAUUUGUAAACGCGUUUGUGGAUCAGGGCCCGAGGCUCAUGUAGUAAUCUGUUAGAAAAUUAUUGGAAGUGGGGUUUUUGUUAUUCUAAAUUUGGUCAUGUGCUACUAUGUAAUUUUCUCUAUUGUAAUACCCUAGAUUUUCAUAUCAAUUUUCCUUGUAUUAUUUCUGGAAUUAAUGAAGGAAUAUUUAUGGAAAUUCUUAUUGGUUGUGCGAAGUUGAAGUUCGGGAGUUUUUUUUUCUCAAGUGCUUUGUCUUUUAAGAGACCAAAAAGUUGACUUUAUUUUCCUCAAGUUAUUUGCAAAAACUUCCUUCAUGAAAGUUGUAGAGUUUGGCGAUACGAGUUCGUAGACACGUGGCACGUGUAAUUCAGAUGUUAUAUGAGAAAGUUAUGGUCAGAGGAAGUUAGUUUCCGGUUUUGGAAAGAGUAUAAGUAGAAAAAUGUGUGGGAGUUAUUUUUGGGAACCCUAAGUCAGCUCUCUCUCUUCUCUCUCUUCUCUCUCUCCCAUUCUCGAGCUCACCCGCACACCAAACUUCUGCUGGAGCUAGCUCCGCCGUCCGGCCACCAUUUGGACCACCACCGGUCCCAUUCGACUCCCACAGGUAACCUCUUCAAGGCUGGGCAGCUGCUGCUCGGUGUAGUGGGCCGGAAUCGGAGCCCUUGCCGGAAAAGGGAGCUACUGCUUUUCUGAUCGGAACCGCCGUAUACGGCGGCGACGAGGGGCAUCCCUAGGUGAGUUUUGAUGCUCUCCUCCUCUUGGUAGUGGCUAGGCAUAGAUUGAAUCAAGUUUUGAGGUUUUUCAGCCCGGAUUUGCAGGUUUGAAGUUUGAUUUCGGGUUAGGGUUUCGUGACAUUUUCUGGCCGAUUCCGGCCAAAUUGAUUGAAACCUCAGGUAUUAAAGUUAAUUGCUCUCCAUGCUUCAAUCUAUAAGUUUCAUGUUGUGAGUUUCCCCAAAUAUUGAGUUUGGUGGUGGCGCGUGGGGCUCACUCACCGCCGUCGCCUGUGGGGGCGCAUCCGAGCAGUGUGGGGGUUUUGGUUGCCGUGUUAGCUAGUCCUUGUUAGCUACUAGUGUGUUGAUGUGUGUGAAGGCUAAGUGUUGUUUUGGUUUUGGUAGCUUAGGUGCUAUGUUGUUCUUGGUGUUCCUUUUUGGUCAUAACUUUGAAAGUUGAUCUUGGAGGUAGUUUGGUUGGUUGAGUGUCCAAUGACCUUGGGAGGUCUUGGAGGAAGGAUUUCCAUUCUUUGGGCAACUUUUAGGUUAACGGUAUUUGUUCUUUGUUGAGAAUUUACUAAGGUUUUUAAUUGUGUAAUUUUAGGUGUUCUGUGAGGUUGUGGUUAGCUUGAUUCUUUUGUUUUGCGGAAAUGCAGCGGGAUAUUGAGGUGAGUAAAUCUCACCAAGGUUCACUUUUGAACCAAAAUUCUAUUAUGGUCAUUUGAUAUUGAUGUUGAAUUUAAUAAUAUGCUAUUAUUUGUUUUUUUUUAAAUAUAUGAGCUUGAUCGCCAACGGCUCAUAGGUAAGAUAAAACAAGUUUUUCUUACAUGGUUAUUUUUGAGGUUCAUGUGAUCUAAUUCAAUUGAUUAUUGGUAGGUUAUUCUUGUGGAAUAUCUAUAAUGUUCAAAUAAAUAUAUCUAUGUGGAAGGAUAUAAUUUAUGAUGUGAUCUUGUGUUGUUGAUGAUGAUGUUGGGAUAUUGUGAUUGUUGGAUAAAUAGCCAAACUGGGUUCCAAGCCUUUAAUCGGGUGAUUGGUUACGGUUAAGAUGCAAUUUAUUAUUUUGUGUGUUUGAUAUUGGACAGUUAAACUGAGUUCCAAGCCUUUGACCGGGUGACUGGUUACGGUUAGAAAUAGAGUUCUAGUCCAUUUGUCGGUGUAGGUUAUGGGAGAUACCAUAUGGUAUCUGGGACCCAUGGGUACACUAUUUGUUGUUGUAGGUCAUGAGGGGUAUUUAUUAAUACCUGGGACUCAUGGGUACAUGUUAUUGAAAAAGUGUUGAAAUUGUGGAUUUUAAUUAUUGAUCUAAAUUGCUCUUGUGAUAUAAUUGGAUGUCGAGGUUGUGUUAUUUUGAGAAUUACUCAUACGGGCUUUUUAGCUUACCGGGUUUGUUGUUUACAACCCGGUGCACCAAUUCUUGGUGUAGGGGUUAGACCAGCAGGUGAGGAUCAGCAGGGUUGAGGCGGAGGCUUAGUGACAGGGUUUUUUUGUUGGGUUUUGUUGUACACUAUAUAUUUUUAUAUUUGGGGUAGACAUUAUUAAAACUCAUGUGAGUGUUUUCAUUUUCUUGAUUUUCAAGUUUAUGUAAACAAGGAAAUGUAAUAUUUAACUCAGUGUUGAGUUGUGUGACAUUUACAUUUCCGCAUUGAGUUUUAGUUUCUUUGAAGUUUGUUUGAAAGCAGGUUUUGGGAUAAUAAUAUUUUAAGAUAUAUCAUGUCAAAAUUUUUGAAAAUUAUAUUUCGAAAAUUAGGGUGUGACAGAUAUUCUAAUCUCGAUUUACUUUCCGUAGGACUGUUCAUACUAAACAGUUUUGGGCCUCCCUAUUGGACCCGCAUUCAUUCUAGUAUAUAGUAGUUUCCUCAUCGUUUCUCGCGUCUGUCUCGGAGUUUCUAGAAAACGCAUAGAAAAGAUGUGGCUUGCUCAACCAUCUGUUUUGAGGGCUAGUUUGGUAUUGCUGUGACUUUGAAAAAAAAACUGUUGUUACUGUACUGGGAAUUACAGGCUAUUGUUGUGACAAGGUAAAAAGAAAACAAACUCAAAAUACAAAAUCCUAUUACAACAAACACCUAGAGAGUCAAAAUAGAAAGCAGGACUAGCUGCAAGAGGAAGGGAUAUGUUCCAGGCUUGCGUUCCAAGUUGAUGUCCUAUCUCUGCAA